CCUACGGGUGGCUGCAGUGGGGAAUAUUGGACAAUGGGGGGAACCCUGAUCCAGCCAUGCCGCGUGUGUGAAGAAGGCCCUCGGGUUGUAAAGCACUUUCAGUGAGGAAGAACGCCUGGUGGUUAAUACCCAUCAGGAAAGACAUCACUCACAGAAGAAGCACCGGCUAACUCCGUGCCAGCAGCCGCGGUAAUACGGAGGGUGCGAGCGUUAAUCGGAAUUACUGGGCGUAAAGCGCGCGUAGGUGGCUUGAUAAGCCGGUUGUGAAAGCCCCGGGCUCAACCUGGGAACGGCAUCCGGAACUGUCAGGCUAGAGUGCAGGAGAGGAAGGUAGAAUUCCCGGUGUAGCGGUGAAAUGCGUAGAGAUCGGGAGGAAUACCAGUGGCGAAGGCGGCCUUCUGGACUGACACUGACACUGAGGUGCGAAAGCGUGGGUAGCAAACAGGAUUAGAUACCCUAGUAGUC
rnacentral:rRNA from 1 species